rnacentral:rRNA from 1 species
GACGAACGCUGGCGGCGUGCUUAACACAUGCGAGUCGAACGGAAAGGCCCUGCUUUUGUGGGGUGCUCGAGUGGCGAAAGGGUGAGUAACACGUGAGUAACCUGCCCUUGACUUUGGGAUAACUUCAGGAAACUGGGGCUAAUACCGGAUAGGAGCUCCUGCUGCAUGGUGGGGGUUGGAAAGUUUCGGCGGUUGGGGAUGGACUCGCGGCUUAUCAGCUUGUUGGUGGGGUAGUGGCUUACCAAGGCUUUGACGGGUAGCCGGCCUGAGAGGGUGACCGGCCACAUUGGGACUGAGAUACGGCCCAGACUCCUACGGGAGGCAGCAGUGGGGAAUAUUGCACAAUGGGCUGAAGCCUGAUGCAGCAACGCCGCGUGCGGGAUGACGGCCUUCGGGUUGUAAACCGCUUUCGCCUGUGACGAAGCGUGAGUGACGGUAAUGGGUAAAGAAGCACCGGCUAACUACGUG